GAAUAUGGUCUUUAGUUUGAGGGGGAGAAUGUGAGAUAUCAAACUAAGUCCCACAUUGGAAAAUUCUACAAGAAGUGUCUAAUAUAUAAAGUGCAUGAUGUCCAACUCUAAUUAGUACGAGGCAUUUUGGGAAGGAGCCCAAAAGUAAAUCCAUCCGGACCAGCCUCUUAGGCGUAAAGUGAACAAUAUCGUACUAAUCGGAUAUUAUAGAGUU
rnacentral:lncRNA from 1 species